UUAGAGAUGGGCCUCAUUAAGUUGUUGAGGCUGGGUUUGAACUUGAGAUCCUCCUACCUCAACCUUCUGGGAUUACAGGUGUGUGCCACUGUACCCAGCACUAAUCUUUUUUCUUUAGGGUCUAAUCUACUUGUAAUUCCUUUCAGUACAUUUUUUUUUCAUCUUCAGAAUUCUGAUUUGAAUCCCAUACACACACUGCUAGGAAUUGAACUGAGGGCCUCAAUAUGGUAGGCAAACACUAUCACUGAGCUACAUCCCCAUCCCUUUUCGUUUUAUUUUGAGACAGGGUCUUGUUAAGUUGCCCAGGCUGGCCUCAAACUUGUCAUCCUUCUGCCUUGACCUCCUGAGUAGCUGGAAUUACAGGUUUAUGCCACCAUAUCCAACUUCUGAUUUGAAUCAUUCCCCCUUAUAUCAUUACUUAAAAUUUAUUUUCUUCUUUUGGAGGGGAGUACUGGGGAUUGAACCCAGUACAUAAGCAUGCUAGGCAAGCACUCUACUACUGAGCUAUAACCCCAACUCUUUAUUUUCUUGACCAUCUAUAAUAUAGUAACUUUCAAGGGUGUUUUGUUGUCGUUGUUGUUUGUUUGUUUGUUUGUUUUUUGGAAUUGAACUCAGAUGGCUUAACACUGAGCCAUACCCCCAGCCUUCUCUUAUUUUUUGAGACAGGGUCUCAUUAAGUUGCUUAGGGCCUCCUAAGUUGCUGAGGCUGGCUUUGAACUUGCCUUCUGCUUCAGCCUCUUUCCUCCUGCCGGUUGCUGAGAUUACAGGUGUGCACCACCGUGCCUUGGUUCAAGGUUCUUAUAUACCAAUAACAUUAAUUAAUUACUUAUUUGAUUUAUUCUAAUAUGUAACAGCUUCUAAAUAAGCUCACUACAAUUACUAGAACCAUGUUUACUAAAAACUGUACAUUUUUUUUAACUUUUCUUUUAAGAUAUCUCACUAUGAGUCAGACACAGCAACACAUGCAUUGCAGCUACUUGGAAAGCUUAGGCAAAGGUAUCACAAGUUUGAGGUCAACCAGGGCAAUUUAGCGAGACCCUGACUGAGAAUUAAGAAAGAAAAAUAAAGGGUGGGGGGAUGUAGCUCAGUGGUUAUACGCCCUUAGUUGUCAAUGUCAAGGGAAAAAUAGAUUAAAUAGGCAACUGAUUCAAAAAAUCAUUUUUUUUUUGGUUAAAAGUAUGUAUAGGGAGCAAAUGAACCCCAAGGCCCCCAAAUGGCAAUUAUGAAGAUCUCCCUUGGAUUUCCCUUCCAGAAAGAGGUUGCCGCUCUGCUGCCAAGAGGGCAGUUAGUUGACCUGGUAAUGCCUUCAGAUUGUCUUUGGCUCUUGUUUCACCUAGCCAAUUGAAUGAGCACAUCCAAGAGCCUGGCCAUCUCUACCCAGUGGGGAAAUUCUCUAACAGCUGUUAGAUCUGCAUCACAACCUCAAGAUUUCUCCUGCCCAUAUACAUUCCUUCCUUGUAUUUCACAGGUAUUACCAUUCCCACUCCCCAUUUAAGAAAUUAAUUGCACCUCAAACUCUGAGUCCUGCUUCCCAGAGGAUCCAACAUAGAUGAUUCCAAGAAUGAUCCAACAGGGCAGGUGGUAAGAUGAGUUUGGAGCUGGAUCACUUUCUGCCUGGCUGAUCACUAGAAUAGGUGAUCAUUCUGAAUAGGUUGUGGGGCAUGAAUAGACCCCUAUGUAAAAUGGGGUCUAUAGCUAAAACUAUGUGUAGUGACUAGGGAGAGUGUUCCUGUGGGGAAGACCAUACUGCCAUGGCUGUUGCAGUAAUUUGAGUAUGAAAAAUUCAGGGAACAAGUUAUAGGGCAAUGGCAUUGAUUGUUUUUUACUAAAUUGUAAUGGCACCUACAGAAGGGAAAGGAGAAGUUGAGCAUAAUAACAAACAAGUGACAACUAAUUGAGCACCUUAUCACCUGAGUUAGAUUUAAAAAAAAUAAAAUAGAAGGCCUGAGACCAAACUCAAGACUUAAUAGUUUAAAAAUAUUAGCAUUAAGAUAUUUAAAGACAUUCAUCACAUACUCCUAUAUACAUGUCCUAGGUUUUUCCAAUCAGUGUCUUAGUUUAACAGAGCUUUCUCAACUGGGCGACUCCCCUAGCCAAGACAGUAAAUGGAAAUCAAACUGCAUGUUGGAGAUGGUGAGGAUGAGAUCACCCUUGAGGAUUCCAAAGAUGGAGAGGUUGGUCUCUACUGAAGAAUAUGGAAAUAACAAACCCCUAGGAGAAAGGGAGAGUAAUGGACUUUAUCUACGACUGUUUCCUGACUGCCCAAGAUCUUCCUCCAGCUAUAACCAACAUAUUUCCUAAUAAGACUCAGCCCCUCUAAACCCUAUAAAACUCAGAUCCUUAUUAGAGCCCAUUUCCAUUUUCCCUCUUGAAAAUGUGCCCCUCUGCUGCUUAAUAAAGCAUUUCUGAUCUGUUGA